GGCUGUAGCUCAGUGGCAGAGCACUUGCCUAGCAUGUACGAAGCGCUGGGUUCGAUCCUUAGCACCA
rnacentral:tRNA from 1 species